UAAAUAUGGAGAAUCUCAAGACAACUUCUCGAGUCAUUUUAAGACUCGGGGGCUACAAUGACAUGACUCGGCGAAAUCGGCCAGUUUUAGUGAAUUCAAGAACUCCGGGUCAAUGGAGGGAAGAUAACCCGGUCCCGGAGACUACCGCCAUAUUGGUAAAAAAUUAAAGGCCGUCAGAAAAUUUCCGGCUCACAAUGAUGCUUCGGUUUACAAUCCGGCUCAAGGUAUCCUAAACCGGCAGUAUGAUUCAAUAUCACAUGAACCAGUUUUGCAAACCGGAUUUUAUUAUUCAAUUCUUUAAUAGCCAACAUGGCUGGAUUUUUAUUAUGGUUAUCAAUAGCCAGUAUUAUGAUGGAGGUCUUCAAAGUCGCUUCAGCGCAAUGGCUAUUAUUCUAUCAAUGGGCAUGAUUUAUUUUACAAUGGAGGAAAUAGUCCCGAGUCGCUCUAGGCUUACGACCCGGCACUUGGGGCUACAUUAUUCAAGUUGAGAUUACAUUAAAUAUGCAAGUCUCAUGUCGCUGCGAGCAUGCACCAUGACACUUGGGGGCUAAUGCAAAGCCAUUUUACUGGCCUUAUUGAAGACCCGACUCAUCCCAUUGAAAUGAGCCGGCCCUUGGGGGCUACCAAUUGCUUCUGUCAAAACAUUCAAGGUACACAAGAUUCAUCCCAUUAUAUUGAAAGAUCCACUACUCAGUUGGUAGAGUACAAAGCUCUUAACCUUAUGGAUGUGGGUUCAAGCCCCAUGGUGGAGAUUACAUCAUAUGAUGUUAUCAUCAAUGAAUUAUAUACAAAGUUCCAGCUCAGUAUUAUCUUACUGAGCCGGCCCUUGGGGGCUACAUGUUGCUGCUCAAGUUUACAUGAUCAUAUUUACAAAGUCCCUGCUCAUUAUUUCAUAAUGCCCGGCACUUGGGGGCUACAAGUGAUAUGAAUAUAAUGGAGUUCUACAUCUUUAAGCUGGCUGAAGAUCAUAUGAGUAUUUCAUGUCCAAUGUUUUCUAUUAUGAAGCUGGUCUAUUGACUCAGAUUUUUUACAAGAAGGAAAUACCAAGGAAUUAAGGAUGAUCAGGUGCCGGCUUACAAGAGCUUUUAACCCAGAGUAUAAUCUGUCAAAAUUGUUGUUGUAUUUGUUUUACAAGAUCAGUUUAAACAUGGAUGAAUCCAAAUUAAACUGGGGGCUAAUGUUGGGGAUAUACCCCACGGUAUGACCCGGCCAGAGAUAUGACCCGGCUGGGACUUGAUGUUUCAUUGGUGACCCGGCAGACUAUAAGCCGGCGGGAACAGUUAAGCAUUGUAAGCUGGCAGACACAGUCAUGUAACCCGGCAGACACAAUCAUAUAACCCGGCAGACACAGUCAUGUAACCCGGCAGACACAGUCAUAUAAGCCAGAUAGUCAAGCAGACAGUUAAGUCAGAUAGUUAAGCCGGACAGUUAAGCCAGAAAGUUAAGCCGGACAGUUAAGCCAGAUGGUAAGGCAGAUUGUAAAUCAACAGUUAAGAAGCCCAUGGAGAGAAGUCAGAAUAGUUAAGUCUUAAGUCCGAGUUGGACUCUACAUGUAACCCGCCCUUUCAACAUAUAUAAGGAGGGGUAAGGCACCCCAAGAGGGACAAGUCGAAUAAUCAUUAAGGCUAGACACAAAGAGAGGAGAGUCGGGUUUACGUUGUCUCCCUCAUGAGCAUAAUGAGAUCUA